rnacentral:lncRNA from 1 species
CCUCACCCGAACUCUCCCAGGUGCUAAGCACCCCUAAAGUUGGGACUCUAAAGCCCCUGUGUGAAUGUGUUUGAAAGGUUAGCCUCCGUAAAACUAAAAACUACGUCUACAUCUGUCCAUUUUUACAUAAAUAAAGUGUUGGGGAAGAUUCGGUGUAGGGUUCAAAGAACAGAGCUUAUAUUUUAAUGCCGUAUUGGGCUUUAAAACUGAUUAAAUGAGGCAAACUCACCUUGCUUAUGUCAUUUCUGCAGAAGGUGAAAUUGUGAAAUACACGUGACUGACACACGCAUGCGCAGUGAGCCGCUGGCAAAGAGCAGGAGCUGAAGUAAAGAAGUCUCACUCUGUUACGAUUUAAACUGAACCAAAAUACCAACAAACUCACGGCGAUUCCGCAUCUAAUCCACCAAUUUACCGCCAAUGACUUCGUUUUUGUAAGAGUUUGAUUUUGGUUAAAGUUAAGGCGAGUUCUGCUCCCCUUUCGAGUAAAUACCUCAACAAUCCGCCAUCUUUGAUCGAGUAACGCUUUUCUAUGAGGAAAACUAACUUGUGUUUUAAUGACUGUUUUCAAAGGUUAUUACGAGUCUUAACGCAUUAAAUAAAUCUAAAACAUCACGCAGGCUUGAUCGGCGUAUUUUCUUCUGUAUUUAUCGCUUCGUAGAAUUGUAGAAAAUAGUUUUAAUUCAUCGACAGUUCACCUCCUGACCAGCAGAGAGCGACAGUCACGGCUGAAACAGGAAGUGGAGCUUUUAAAUGCCUUUGUUUUGUUCCCUUCCCCCUAAAAACUACCAACAAACUGCUCUGCGCGAUGUUUGACAGGUGUUCGUCCGCUCAGCCGCCUCCGGAUCCAGGACUUUUCUCUCCGGCCUCUCAAUUCUCCGAUCCAAACACUCAGAACGAACGGGGAUUUUACCGAGAAAACUCCGCCUUUUACCAAAACUACCCCCAGGACUUCCGCCACGUGACGAGCCAACACCAGGGGGCGCCCUUCCUGCAGCGCGGUCACUGUGGCUCCCCGAUGAGCCAACACCGGGGGCUGCAGUUCCCUCAGAGCGGCCACUCACCGACGUACCAACACCAGGGGGCGCAGUUCCCUCAGAGCGGCCACUCACCGACGUACCAAACCAGGGGGCGCAGUUCCCUCAGAGCGGCCACUCCCCAACAAACCAACACCAGGGGGCGCAGUUCCCUCAGAGUGGCCACUCCCCAACAAACCAACACCAGGGGGCCCAGUUCCCUCAGAGCGGCCACUCCCCAACAAACCAACACCAGGGGGCGCAGUUCCCUCAGAGUGGCCACUCCCCAACAAACCAACACCAGGGGGCCCAGUUCCCUCAGAGCAGUCACUCCCCGACGUACCAACACCAGGGGGCGCAGUUCCAUCAGAGCGGUCACUCCCCGAUGUACCAACACCAGGGGGCGCAGUUCCCUCAGAGCGGCCACUCUCCAACAAACCAACACCAGGGGGUGCAGUUCCCUCAGAGCGGCCACUCUCCAACAAACCAACACCAGGGGGCGCAGUUCCCUCAGAGCGGUCACUCACCGACGUACCAACACCAGGGGGCGCAGUUCCCUCAGAUGUUUCCUCAGGACGGUUUCCCUCAGACUGAACACAGAGUCGGACAGUUUCAGUUUCAGAAUCCGGAGUUUGACGAGCAACAAGUGA